rnacentral:tRNA from 1 species
GUGGGUACAGCUCAGUGGUAGAGCGCAUGCCUAGCACGCAUGGUGUCCUGAGUUCGAUCUCCAGUACCUCCA